rnacentral:misc_RNA from 1 species
UCGAUUACAUGACGCCGGUGUCGACGUCGACGAUACUAAACCUACUAUACGUCGUAUUCUUGUUUCGAUCUUUACGCGCGUGCAGGGAUGAACUCCGAUAAAAAUCCGAACGAAAAUCAACAAAAAUCUAUCGACAUGGAAAAACCGCAUGAAAGACCAGCCUACCGAUCUUAAGACUACACACCUUUUCAUGGUUUAUCCAAUAACGUACGUAUGAUAAGACGGUUGAUAUCGUUGAAAGCUACAACAAUCUCGAGGACAAGGCUGAUCCCACAGGGAACUAUUCGCUAAGUGACUAACUAGCCACCGUGGUAACACGGUAUACAUAUCUCUCUGGUUGGUUCGACCAACAAGAAGUCAGCCAACGUGAGAGCACGAACGCAGAGGAGCGCUAUCUCAUCGUGGCCGCUUGCUCAGCGGUAACGCGAGACCUCCGUGGUAAUAAGACCUGCCCUGGAAUUCCAGAAUCAGGCCAGAGUGAGCAGCGAGCGGCUGUUAUCGCGACCGACACCGAAGACGGAGCGCUUCUCCGAGAGAAUAAAAGCCGGCGGAACUCGGACGAGCACGGGACGCACAAAUGAAAUAUUCCUGGCAUCUGCGCGUAGACUCUGCGCCUCCAAUUUAUUUAAAAAAGAAGCGAACGAAGAAGGAAGAAGGGAAAAGGAUUAGAUUUAUUCUGAAUGCCAGACACGAGAGAGGAUAAAAGGCUGGCAUCGCUAUGGUCUGCACAUGACUCGCUCUUUUCGAAAA